rnacentral:misc_RNA from 1 species
UUUCAAGCCAGUUAUCAAAUUUGUAGCAAUGCCACUUGAGAGAUUAUCUCAAUUAGGACAAAAAGCCUCAUGCUACCUUAACCAAACAGAUUGUGUAGAACCCAGGUUGGUCAGCGUGACAAGGUUACAGACCAAUUAAGGAGAGACAUGGUGGUACCGUGUCCCCAUUGCGCGAUCCCCCUCGAACGAGCCUUUGCGUAAUGUCUUUAUUUACAAACCAUAUGCGAACCAUAUAGCAAUUUCACCAAUCAGGCCACUGAUGCCUGACACCGGGUAAGGCCGAGG